AAGGGUAUAGCUCAGCGGGAGAGCGCGUGCUUAGCAUGCACAAGGUCCUGGGUUCAAUCCUCAGUACCUCCA
rnacentral:tRNA from 1 species